rnacentral:rRNA from 1 species
UACGUAGGGGGCAAGCGUUGUCCGGAUUUAUUGGGCGUAAAGAGCGUGUAGGCGGCCAUGUAGGUCCGUUGUGAAAACUCGAGGCUCAACCUCGAGACGCCGAUGGAAACCAUGUGGCUAGAGUCCGGAAGAGGAGAGUGGAAUUCCUGGUGUAGCGGUGAAAUGCGCAGAUAUCAAGGAGGAACACCAAUAGCGAAGGCAGCUCGCUGGGACGGUACUGACGCUAAGGCGCGAAAGCGUGGGAGCGAACAGG